UGAAUGAACAUGGCUUUGCUGCUCAUAGUUUCCUAAUAUAUCACUUUGAUGGUUUAUUUCACCUUAAGUAGCAUGGAAUUGAAGUCUGAGACUGUAUCAGGCUGAUUUCAGGUCUCUUUUGCUUCCCUUUGUGCCAUCGCAGUAGGGGAGAAUUGUCAAGCUGUGCUUGGCCAAGUUAAAUGAGGAGACCAGAUGGUCAGAAAGAAAGGAAUUUUGGUCCAGGUUUAGGAGGAGAAAAGCUAGGGGCAAAACUCCUGCAUAGUUUUUGACCUAAAGAUCAAAACACUCAGCACUGGGGGGGAAGAAAGGAUGGAAGGAAACAAAGCAGCGAUAUAGAAGGCAAUUUUUAAGAUCUCUAUCCCCCAACACAGAAAAGGCAGCUGGUGCAGAAACCCAGAAGCUGUUCCAAGUUGCAUUGCGAAGUGGCAUCGUGAGCUGUCUGGCACUGAGACAGGAUGAGGAAGCAAGAGAUAGAAAGUCAGGCAGGAGAAGGUGGCAGGGGUCCAGGCAGGAAGCAGUCUGAGUGUGAACAAGUGUCUUCGUG
rnacentral:lncRNA from 1 species